AAAUUGAAGAGUUUGAUCAUGGCUCAGAUUGAACGCUGGCGGCAGGCCUAACACAUGCAAGUCGAGCGGUAGCACAGAGAGCUUGCUCUCGGGUGACGAGCGGCGGACGGGUGAGUAAUGUCUGGGAAACUGCCUGAUGGAGGGGGGAUAACUACUGGAAACGGUAGCUAAUACCGCAUAAUGUCGCAAGACCAAAGUGGGGGACCUUCGGGCCUCAUGCCAUCAGAUGUGCCCAGAUGGGAUUAGCUAGUAGGUGGGGUAACGGCUCACCUAGGCGACGAUCCCUAGCUGGUCUGAGAGGAUGACCAGCCACACUGGAACUGAGACACGGUCCAGACUCCUACGGGAGGCAGCAGUGGGGAAUAUUGCACAAUGGGCGCAAGCCUGAUGCAGCCAUGCCGCGUGUGUGAAGAAGGCCUUCGGGUUGUAAAGCACUUUCAGCGGGGAGGAAGGCGGUGAGGUUAAUAACCUCACCGAUUGACGUUACCCGCAGAAGAAGCACCGGCUAACUCCGUGCCAGCGGCCGCGGUAAUACGGAGGGUGCAAGCGUUAAUCGGAAUUACUGGGCGUAAAGCGCACGCAGGCGGUCUGUCAAGUCGGAUGUGAAAUCCCCGGGCUCAACCUGGGAACUGCAUUCGAAACUGGCAGGCUAGAGUCUUGUAGAGGGGGGUAGAAUUCCAGGUGUAGCGGUGAAAUGCGUAGAGAUCUGGAGGAAUACCGGUGGCGAAGGCGGCCCCCUGGACAAAGACUGACGCUCAGGUGCGAAAGCGUGGGGAGCAAACAGGAUUAGAUACCCUGGUAGUCCACGCCGUAAACGAUGUCGAUUUGGAGGUUGUGCCCUUGAGGCGUGGCUUCCGGAGCUAACGCGUUAAAUCGACCGCCCGGGGAGUACGGCCGCAAGGUUAAAACUCAAAUGAAUUGACGGGGGCCCGCACAAGCGGUGGAGCAUGUGGUUUAAUUCGAUGCAACGCGAAGAACCUUACCUGGUCUUGACAUCCACAGAACUUUCCAGAGAUGGAUUGGUGCCUUCGGGAACUGUGAGACAGGUGCUGCAUGGCUGUCGUCAGCUCGUGUUGUGAAAUGUUGGGUUAAGUCCCGCAACGAGCGCAACCCUUAUCCUUUGUUGCCAGCGGUCCGGCCGGGAACUCAAAGGAGACUGCCAGUGAUAAACUGGAGGAAGGUGGGGAUGACGUCAAGUCAUCAUGGCCCUUACGACCAGGGCUACACACGUGCUACAAUGGCAUAUACAAAGAGAAGCGACCUCGCGAGAGCAAGCGGACCUCAUAAAGUAUGUCGUAGUCCGGAUUGGAGUCUGCAACUCGACUCCAUGAAGUCGGAAUCGCUAGUAAUCGUAGAUCAGAAUGCUACGGUGAAUACGUUCCCGGGCCUUGUACACACCGCCCGUCACACCAUGGGAGUGGGUUGCAAAAGAAGUAGGUAGCUUAACCUUCGGGAGGGCGCUUACCACUUUGUGAUUCAUGACUGGGGUGAAGUCGUAACAAGGUAACCGUAGGGGAACCUGUUGUUGGAUCACCUCCUUACCUUAAAGAA
rnacentral:rRNA from 1 species